rnacentral:misc_RNA from 1 species
UGUAGCGCGAUCCAGAAAAAGACUUACUGCUUCAUACUGACUGAAAGAUUCAAUGGAGGGUAGCUCUUUUAGAUCAGGCACUUCCAGCGAUGGGACACGGUAGGUUGCUUCACCCAUGAUAUUAAGGGACUCGCGACUACUGGCAAGGAUGCGAAUACCUGGCGCAACACUCAAUAACCGAGCUGCCAAUUGCGCACAGGACUCCACGAGAUGUUCACAAUUAUCGAGGAGGAUGAUCAUCUCUUUUUUCAAAAGAUAAUCGCACA